GUGGGGAAUAUUGCACAAUGGGCGCAAGCCUGAUGCAGCAACGCCGCGUGAGGGACGACGGCCUUCGGGUUGUAAACCUCUUUUAGCAGGGAAGAAGCGAAAGUGACGGUACCUGCAGAAAAAGCACCGGCUAACUACGUGCCAGCAGCCGCGGUAAUACGUAGGGUGCAAGCGUUGUCCGGAAUUAUUGGGCGUAAAGAGCUCGUAGGCGGUUUGUCGCGUCUGCUGUGAAAACCCGAGGCUCAACCUCGGGCCUGCAGUGGGUACGGGCAGACUAGAGUGCGGUAGGGGAGAUUGGAAUUCCUGGUGUAGCGGUGGAAUGCGCAGAUAUCAGGAGGAACACCGAUGGCGAAGGCAGAUCUCUGGGCCGUAACUGACGCUGAGGAGCGAAAGCAUGGGGAGCGAACAGGAUUAGAAACCCUUGUAGUCC
rnacentral:rRNA from 1 species